AAUAACAAUGCAUACUAGAGUGGUGAACACGCCCAAUCUUGUCUGAUCUCUGAAGCUAAUGAGGGUCAGCCAUGGUUAGUACUUCGAUGGAAGACUGCCUGGGAAUCCCAGGCGCUGUAGGUU
ensembl:rRNA 5S_rRNA 5S ribosomal RNA